rnacentral:rRNA from 1 species
UACGUAGGGUGCAAGCGUUGUCCGGAAUUAUUGGGCGUAAAGAGCGUGUAGGCGGCCCGAUUAGUCCGCUGUGAAAGUCCAGGGCUCAACCCUGGAAUGCCGGUGGAAACUGUCGGGCUAGAGUCCGGAAGGGGCGAGUGGAAUUCCUGGUGUAGCGGUGAAAUGCGCAGAUAUCAGGAAGAACACCUAUGACGAAGGCAGCUCUCUGGGACGGUACUGACGCUGAGACGCGAAAGCGUGGGGAGCGAACAGG